UACGUAGGGUGCAAGCGUUAAUCGGAAUUACUGGGCGUAAAGCGUGCGUAGGCGGCUAUGCAAGACAGAUGUGAAAUCCCCGGGCUCAACCUGGGAACUGCAUUUGUGACUGCAUAGCUAGAGUACGGUAGAGGGGGAUGGAAUUCCGCGUGUAGCAGUGAAAUGCGUAGAUAUGCGGAGGAACACCGAUGGCGAAGGCAAUCCCCUGGACCUGUACUGACGCUCAUGCACGAAAGCGUGGGGAGCAAACAGG
rnacentral:rRNA from 1 species